AACGAACGCUGGCGGCAUGCCUAACACAUGCCAGUCGAACGAGACCUUCGGGUCUAGUGGCGCACGGGUGCGUAACGCAUGGGAACCUGCCUUUAGGUUCGGAAUAACUCAGAGAAAUUUGAGCUAAUACCGGAUGAUGUCUUCGGACCAAAGAUUUAUCGCCUUUAGAUGGGCCCGCGUUGGAUUAGCUAGUUGGUGGGGUAAAGGCCUACCAAGGCGACGAUCCAUAGCUGGUCUGAGAGGAUGAUCAGCCACACUGGGACUGAGACACGGCCCAGACUCCUACGGGAGGCAGCAGUGGGGAAUAUUGGACAAUGGGCGAAAGCCUGAUCCAGCAAUGCCGCGUGAGUGAUGAAGGCCUUAGGGUUGUAAAGCUCUUUUACCCGAGAUGAUAAUGACAGUAUCGGGAGAAUAAGCUCCGGCUAACUCCGUG
rnacentral:rRNA from 1 species